rnacentral:rRNA from 1 species
CCUACGGGUGGCAGCAGUGGGGAAUAUUGGACAAUGGGGGGAACCCUGAUGCAGCAACGCCGCGUGGGUGAAGAAGUACUCCUGUAUGUAAAGCCCCGUCAGCAGGGGAGAAAAUGACGGUACCUGACCCAGUCUCCACGGCUAACUCCGAUCCAGCAGCCGCGGUAACACGUAGGGGGCAAGCGUUAUCCGGAUUUACUGGGUGUAAAGGGAGCGUAGACGGCAAGGCAAGUCUGGAGUGAAAGCCCGUGGCCCAACCACGGGACUGCUUUGGAAACUGUGUGGCUGGAGUGCAGGUGGGGUAAGCGGAAUGCAUAGUGUAGCGGUGAAAUGCGUAGAUAUUAGGAGGAACACCGGUGGCGAAGGCGGCUUACUAGACUGUAACUGACGUUGAGGCUCGAAGGCGUGGGGAGCAAACAGGAUUAGAUACCCCAGUAGUC